rnacentral:sRNA from 1 species
UUUACAAUCAAAUUUAAGGAAAUAAAAAAAUUGAAAGUUAAAAAGUUAAAGAGAAAAAAAUGAUGACCUGUUUAGAUAUUCCCUCAUUUUUGAACUCCACAAAGAAUAGUUAUUCAAUAACUUGUUUCACACCCCAUGCCGUUAGCUGAGUGGGCUAACCUUCUCUGCCAACACAAUUUUACUAGCACUGAAUUGAAAUGUUAAGUAUCACCGCAUAAAAUGGCUAGAUUCUGGAACCAAAAAGGUUCUAACCAUAACUGGACAACAACAGCUGUAUAUCACCUCCCAAUGAAUGAUUGUCCUUACAAACAAUACUAUUGAUUGAAGCUCUCUGUAAUAAGUAAAGAUAACAUUAUGUAAGCAAUUGGCAAUAAAAAGGAUUGCAGCACAUUUGUUUUUAAAGAAUGAAUUACAAACAAUUUCCUUCAUGUCUUCACAUGCUGGUGAAACAAAAACAACAACUAACAACUUACUUUACAGAUACUAAUAUGUAAAUCACAUGAACACAGAAUGAUACAAAGAUUCAUGACAACUUUUAGCAUUGGGCAGUAUAGGAGCAAGUCUCACAAAUUGGAUUCUUAAUUUUUUUGUA